CCUACGGGAGGCUGCAGUGAGGAAUAUUGGUCAAUGGCCGUAAGGCUGAACCAGCCAAGUCGCGUGAAGGAAGAAGGAUCUAUGGUUUGUAAACUUCUUUUAUAGGGGAAUAAAGUUAUCCACGUGUGGAUAUUUGCAUGUACCCUAUGAAUAAGCAUCGGCUAACUCCGUGCCAGCAGCCGCGGUAAUACGGAGGAUGCGAGGGUUAUCCGGAUUUAUUGGGUUUAAAGGGAGUGUAGAGGUGUUGUUAAGUCAGUUGUGAAAGUUUGCGGCUCAACCGUAAAAUUGCAAGUGAUACUGGCAGUCUUGAGUACAGUUGAGGUAAGCGGAAUUCGUGGUGUAGCGGUGAAAUGCUUAGAUAUCACGAAAAACCCCGAUUGCGAAGGCAGCUUACUAAACUGUGACUGACAUUGAUGCUCGAAAGUGUGGGUAUCAAACAGGAUUAGAUACCCGUGUAGUC
rnacentral:rRNA from 1 species